rnacentral:lncRNA from 1 species
AUUUGACUAGGCUGGAACCUCAACCGAGCAGCACAGAGAAUAUACAGGGAUUGUGCCGAGCUAAGUCGAUUAUUUGUGCUGACCGCGCUUGUAGGCGAAUAUUUGCCGAGCUUCUUGGUUUGAUAAUAUUAUAAGAGAAUCAAGCGAGCAGUAAUUCGUAGGGGGAACAACAAUACAAUAUUCGUUCUGUUCUCAGGACGAGACGAGCUGGUGUAACGCCGGCAUUCUUCUUGUUCUUGGGUGUCGUUCUGGGUCUGAUAGGUGGUUGAAUCAAUUGAGGGAACCUGCUUCUUUCUCGACGCAAGGAACAAAGAAAAGACAAAUCGUAAAUGGCACAGCGCCGCUCGAAUAGAGAGACAAAAGCAACAAGCAACGAGAUGGUUGGAACGACGAGUACGGAGUAUGUACAAACCGAUGGGGAUGGAAGGAGGAAGGCUUCGAUUCAGCCCCCUCUUGAGUCUG